CUUCAAUUCAGACUGUACUAUAUGCAUUAAUUGAUACUGCUAUAACCCCAUGCUUUGCCUUGUCCAUUAGGCUUCAUGUGAAGUUUGUGUGUGCACACCGUGUAAAUACUAAUGUUCUUGUCUUGGCUAUAUGCACAAGUCCAACUGUGAGUACAUUUAUUCAUGAAAAACAAUCAGUGCAGCCGUUGGGCAACAUCCAGUAAAUGGCGUCACCUGUGGAAAAAAAAAACCCCAAACAAUUUAUUAAACUAUUUUGCAAAGAAUUAAGAACCACGCUGUACUUUCCAUUAGCUUCUCUAAGUUUUUUUCGGGAAAAAAACACUAUUGAACUCUGAAC